GAAAAAUUGUUAGUCAUUUGUUCUAAUAUCAUUUAUCAGCUGAUUAGUUACCUGGUUAAUUCUUUUCUUACUAAUUUGAAAUAUUGUGUGAUCAUAUAAGAAUGUCUUUGGUCUGCUGUGUUUUUGUUCCAUUAAUCUGUCUGUAAUCACCAAUAUGAUUCCAUUUUAGUGACUAUAUAUUUAAAAUACAUUUUGAUAUCUUGUAGGGGGAAAUCCCAUUAUAUAUUCUCCCAGAAAUUUCUUGGCUUUCUCACAAGUGUAUUCCUUCAGGCAGGCUUUCAAAUCAUCUGGUGAUGUUCCUUUCAAAAAACUCAUUGGGGCUUUGAAUUUCAACUAUUCUAAAACAUUCUCCCCCUUCUAUGGAGGGGGUCAAAGGCAUCUUCUUUGAGAACCUAUCUUCCAAGAGAAAUAAGCACAAGACACUCAAAUCAAAAGUUUUCCAAAUAUUAUCCUAGAGAGAAGAGCACCAUUGAGAAGCACUCCCCCUGCCAUGAGCUCCCAGCCUUCUUUUUAGCGCCUGCCUCACUCUUAAAUAUGAGCAGACAGCCAAGGACUGCCAGACGUUUAUGAAAAAAACCCCACCUCACUUUAAAUGCCAAUACAAAUAGAAAGAAAAACUUAAUAAUAACUAGUAUUAAUAUCCCUAGAGAAUAUGAAUCAAUGAAGAAGUAGAUACUAUAAAACAAAUAUCCAGUGAACAUGAAACCUUAGAAAUAGACAAUAUGAUCGCAUAAACUAUUGGAAGAUACCCUGGGCACAGUGGCCCACACCUGUAAUCCCAGCACUUUGGGAGGCUGAGGCAGGUAGAUCACUGAGGUCAGGAGUUCGAGACCAGCCUGGCCAACAUGGUGAAAUCCCAUCUCUACUAAAAAUAUAAAAAUUAGCUGGGCGUGUGGCAGGUGCCUGUAAUCCCAACUACUUGGGAGGCGGAGGCACGAUAGUCACUUUAACCCAGGAGGCAGAGGUCGCAGUGAGCCGAGAUGGUGCCACUGCACUCCAGCCUGGACAACAGAGCAAGACUCCAUCUCAAACAACAUAAAAAAUCAAAAAAUAUAUAUUGGAAGAUAAAAUCAAGAGAAUCUCCCAGAAAGACUAGAAGAAAGAGAAGAAAAUAGAUAAUAUUUUUUAAAAUAGAGACUUAUCUAGAAUGUUCUAGAAUAAUUGAAGUUCUGGCCGGGCACGGUGGCUCACGCCUGUAAUCCCAGCACUUUGGGAGGCUGAGGCGGGUGGAUCACGAGGUCAGGAGAUGGAGACCAUCCUGGCUAACAUGGUGAAACCCCGUCUCUAACAAAAAUACAAAAAAAUUAGCCGGGCAUGGUGGUGGGCACCUGUAGUCCCAGCUACUCAGGAGGCUGAGGCAGGAGAAUGGCAUGAACCCAGAAGGCAGAAGUUGCAAUGAGCCACGAUAGCGCCACUGCACUCCAGCCUGGGCGACACAGCGAGACUCCGUCAAAAAAAAAAGAAUAAUUGAAGUUCUAUGAAUAGAGGAUAGUGAAAAUAGAUAAAAGGAAAUCACUAAUAAAAUAAUUCAAAAUAAAAUUUCCAGAAUCUAUGAGGAACAUGAAUGUCCUGAUAGAAAGGGAUGUCACUGAGCACCCAGAACAAUGGAUAAAGUAGACCAAAUCCAAGGCACAUUAUCGAGGAAUUUCACAAAGCUGGGGACAGAUAAUGGACAAUAUAAAGUCUCAGGGAGAAAAAAAAACAGGUUUCAUACAAAGUAUCAAGUAUAAGAAGACAUCAAACUUAUCAAUAACAAUAGUGGAAGCUAGAAGGCAAUGAAGCAACAACACACUAAAAAUUCUGAGGAAAAAUAACUUCAAGAACUCCAUUUUCAGUGUCUAAAAAACAAAACUCAUGUAGCCCCUUUUCAGGAAGCUGUUUGAAGAUGUGCUUCUAGAAAUUUAUGGAAUAAACCAAG
rnacentral:lncRNA from 1 species